ensembl:lncRNA
CUGACUGAGGCAGAGGUACAAAAGGCCAGCCCUCUUGCCCCGAAGCAGGGCUAAGUCUGUGCUGUGAUUAAUUCUCCAAAGCUUCCUGAUGGAUCAGGCGGAAGCCAGACUCCACGCGGAGAUAACAUCUUUGCUUAGCCCUUUCCCCUGCCCUACCCUGCUUCCCCCGCACUCCUUUCUCCUGAGAGUUUUCCCUCAAUAAUCAUAUCCCUUGAAUACCUGUCUUAGGCUCUACUGCUGGGGAGCCCCCCUAAGACACCCCUCAAUAGAGCAAUGGAGUCCCUUAGUAAAAUCUGUACUCCUUUACUUGGCAUUCAAGGCCCUCUAUGAUCAGAGCACCCACUUUCCUGCCUUGUCCGCCCCGUCCCCCUUCCCUUGUGCUGUGUUGGUGCAGAGCAUAGCAGAUGACUGAACUGCAUGCUGAAUCGGCAUAUGUUGCCUCAUUUCCCACCUCUGAGCCUUUUCUAUGCUCUUCCUCCCGCUGGGCCUCUCUUUGCUGCCUCCAUCCUCCAUGCACAUUGAAGCACUACCCACACUUCAAGUGAAACCUUCCUGCCCUCGAGCCAGAAGCCCCGUCUCCCUCCUUUGAUCUCCCAGAGCACCUCCUGUGUCUCUCUGAUAACACGAAUCACCUUCUGCUUGGUAACUGUAGGGUAACACCAAGUUCAACGGCACUAUUUCUGUCUCAGUUGAGGCCCCAAAGCCAGCAGGUGCCAACCAGUCCACAUCCAAAGUGAGGCGCAAGACCACCCUAGCAGGACUUACAAAGGAGGUGGCCCAGAGCUGGAACUCCCUGCCGACCCUUCACCCCCAGGCCAUCAGUGAAGCUAUUGAGCCAGUUACUAGCACACCGCUGCUUGACAGCUUCCACUUAUGAACUCUUGUGAGCCCUGAACCACCACAUAAGAAGUUCAGCUACCUUUCAGGAAAGACCACCUGUGGAAAAGCCCCAUGGAGAGGGAGAGACCCUGAGAUUACAUGGAGGAGAACCAAGGCACCCAGAUAAAUGACCCAGUGGAGCUAUUCCAGCAAGUCUCCAGCCUUGCGAGCCCUCCUAGCUGAGGCAUCUGACCUAUGAAUGAAGAGGCCACGGACACCCGACCCCGGGAGACAUCAUCACACGGAUCAGAGAUGAGCCAUCCCUGCUGCAACCUGUCUGAAUUCCCGACUCAUAGCUGGUCAAAUAAGAGAUUUGUGGUUUUAAACCAUUAAGUUUUGGGGUACUUUAGGAUGCAUCAGUAGACAGAACUGCUGGGGAUCCCAAGACAAAGAGCCAGACAGCCCCAUGUCCCCUGCCAUGGUCUCUUCCCUAUGUAGCUUCUCAUUCCCUUUGGCAUUGCCUGGGUUCCAGGAAGCCCGAAGGAGAGGUUCCCAGCUCUCUCACCCCAACAGAGGUGGCCUCACUUGCCCCCGAACCACCCUGAUCUUCCAGGGAUCCCGGAGGGCAUCCCCACUCACACCCUCCCCCAUCCCAUGGAAGCAGACAGGGAGAUGCGGAGUGAGGGAUUCUGCUGGGGAGGCUGGUGUGGAGCUGAGAGAGGGAUGGAGCCCCUCCCUUCCCUGUUGACAUUUGGAAAGGACAAAAUUAGGAGGAAGGUAAAUGUUACUUUUCUUGUCUUCUGGGGACCAGGGAAGAGGAAGGCCAACCCAAGGUUCGGAUUGUUUUCAAGUUUGGUGAGGAUGCUGGGGUGCUGGGCAUGAGUUCCCUGAAGACUGAGGAGGUUGUUGCUCGUGGGCUUGGCGUCUUGCAACAGAGGUUGCUUGGGAACAGUGUGGGGCAAGACUGCCCUCUCCAUCCCCUUCUGGAGCCUCUGCGGCUGGUGGUCCCAACCAGGGGUGAUGCCACUGGUCUGCAUAGUGUUUCCAAAUUCCUGACAGCUACUGAUCUGGGGGACUUGGGAAUGAGCAAUUAGAAUCCCGAGAGUUCUUGGAAAUUCC